rnacentral:piRNA from 2 species
UUGACAGGCUGAUUUAGGGGUGCUCCCCAAG